GUCUUAAGAAACCAAGCAGAGAACGUCAAGGUGAUGGAUCUCAUCGGUAACAGAAUCGAACUUUUGUAAAAAAAUAUUUUGACUGAUCUAUAUGGAACUUAUGUUCCUGUAAUUAUAAAAAAGUGCUGAUAUGUUAUAUUUUGAUCCAGCUGCUUAGCAUUUGGUGAUAUAUAUGUAUGUUUAGUUUGUCGAGCUUGAUGAACUAUGCUCUAAUUUCCACACCACUAAUUUUCAUGUUUUCUACUAACCCUCUUAAAGUAUUGUUGAUUAUGUUUGGCUUGGCUGCAAGCUUUUUUACAAGUUGAAUACUUUAUUUUGUUUAUUUACAUUUUUUUUCUUAAUGAG